rnacentral:sRNA from 1 species
UCGUGUUAGGGAUUGAAACGGCAUCCUUUUUAUGGUAAAAAAUUGAAUUCUUUAAUAAAGUAAAUGGUAUUAAGAUGAGAAUAAACCACACUAUAAUCUAUUAACCAUAAAAAGAUAUAGUAGAAAGCCCGACCUUUU